AACGAACGCUGGCGGCGCGCCUAAUACAUGCAAGUCGAGCGAGAAGACGUAGCAAUACGUUUGUAAAGCGGCGAACGGGUGAGGAAUACAUGGGUAACCUACCCUCGAGUGGGGAAUAACUAGCCGAAAGGUUAGCUAAUACCGCGUACGCUCCUUGGACUUCGGUUCAGGGAGGAAAGCGAUACCGUGGGUAUCGCGCUCUUGGAUGGGCUCAUGUCCUAUCAGCUUGUUGGUGAGGAACGGCUCACCAAGGCUUCGACGGGUAGCUGGUCUGAGAGGACGAUCAGCCACACUGGCACUGCGACACGGGCCAGACUCCUACGGGAGGCAGCAGUAAGGAAUAUUGCGCAAUGGGCGAAAGCCUGACGCAGCGACGCCGCGUGGGGGAUGAAGGCCUC
rnacentral:rRNA from 1 species